CGACAAUCAUUUUCCUCCUCCAACCACCAUAACCACUGCCCGAGAAGGGAGUGGACACAAGAGAGACUCCAGGAACAUCAGAGGAGUAAACAAAAAGGGGGCUGGUAGAGUCCACUGAGGAGAUACUAGCAUUCAUAUUAGAAGUCAUGAACAAUAAUCAGUUUGAAAUAAAAAAAAACAGUCUCAGAACCCACAUGCAAAACAAAAAACACUUAGAACAGGGAUAGAGUUACCCUCCUUCUUCGCGACCGGAGAAGAGCAUCCUUCAAUCGCCAGAUAAAACCCUAGGUCCAAAACCCUAGGUCCAACCACCGGACCGUACUGGAAACUUGCCGGAAUAGGGUCAAGGAUGUCGGAAAAUCACCCAAAACAUCCACCGAGUGAGGAUCGAGCCAUCGGAUAGCAGUAAAACCGUAGGUUCAACCACCAGAAACCCUAGAAACUGGAGAGUCACCGGAAAAAGGUCAGGGAUGUCGGAAAAUCACCCAAAACAUCCACUGAGUGAAGAUCGAAGCAUCAAACAGCAGUAAAAGCUCCAAUUAUCCGUUCAGUACACAUCGUUCUCUUGGUAAAUAAAAUCUCUCACAAAUAUCCGAGAAAAACCUUCAAUAAAACGUCCAACGCAAUCGAUAACAAGUAACGGAGAAGAAUCCGAGGAUCAUCCCGCUUUGAUACCAUGAAAACGUACAGAUUGAAGGCAAAGUGAUGAAGAACAUAGUGAGAAAGAGAGAGAGAGAAGUUGAG
rnacentral:lncRNA from 1 species